GACAGAGGGUGCAAACGUUGUUCGGAAUUAUUGGGCGUAAAGAGCUCGUAGGCGGUCUGUCGCGUCUGCUGUGAAAUCCCGAGGCUCAACCUCGGGCCUGCAGUGGGUACGGGCAGACUAGAGUGCGGUAGGGGAGAUUGGAAUUCCUGGUGUAGCGGUGGAAUGCGCAGAUAUCAGGAGGAACACCGAUGGCGAAGGCAGAUCUCUGGGCCGUAACUGACGCUGAGGAGCGAAAGCGUGGGGGAGCGAACAGG
rnacentral:rRNA from 1 species